UUGAUGUGCUGUUGGAUUCUGUUUGUUAGGAUCUUAUUGAGUUGCACUAGGAUGCAAAAGAAAAAAUUCCCUGUGCUUUCUGUCUGUCUUUGUGGCAGCUCAGAUUGAAUUAGGGAAUACAUUU